rnacentral:rRNA from 1 species
AGGACGAACGCUGGCGGCGUGCUUAACACAUGCAAGUCGAGCGGAAAGGCCACUUCGGUGGUACUCGAGCGGCGAACGGGUGAGUAACACGUGAGUAAUCUGCCCCUGGCUUCGGGAUAGCCACCGGAAACGGUGAUUAAUACCGGAUAUGACGCACCUUCGCAUGUUGGUGUGUGGAAAGUUUUUCGGCCAGGGAUGUGCUCGCGGCCUAUCAGCUUGAUGGUGAGGUAAUGGCUCACCAUGGCUUCGACGGGUAGCCGGCCUGAGAGGGUGACCGGUCACGACGUGGGACUGAGACACGGCCCAGACUCC